ACUCGAGCUUGUCAUGAAGAUGACCACAAGUUCUAAAACUCAUAAAGAGAAACACCAAACAAGAACCAAGAAGUAUGAUGCAAGGAUGCAAAUAGUUUGAGCUCUCAACGAACGAUACGAUCAAGCUAUUCACUUGAAAGCCCCCCUUGACAGUACGACAUCUAUCCUAAAACAGAAAACCUAUCAAGGGCAAAUCUAUACCUUGCACCUCAAGAGGACGAUGAUCUUAGCUUCCUCAAGAUGGACCACCUUUCUUGAUUGCGUUGGCUUGAUGAAGACUAGUUGAUUGCUCCCCCAUACACACUAUGGGUGAGUCACUCUUCAAAAUAUCUUCACAAGUCCAUUGCCACCACAAUGGACGACAAGCUUCAAGCAUGAUAUCUUCGUGAUGAUCCACUUGAACUUGCACACCGCAAUCUUGAUGACGAUCAUCACUUGACGUCAUCCUUCAUGGGUUGUAUAAGAUCUUCCUCUUGACGCAAGCCCAUGGAAACACACCUAACCCCACAUAGAACUCUCAGAAAGACCAUGGGUUAGUACACAAACACGUAAUGGACAAUGCUUACCAUACCAUGGGACCACUUGAUCCCUCUCGAUACAUCUUGUGCUCUUUGUGUGUUGAUCAUCUUGAUUUACUCUUUGUCU
rnacentral:lncRNA from 1 species